rnacentral:rRNA from 1 species
GGGGUCUUAGCUAGUCUACCAAGCGAACGACUUUUAGUUUGCCCCCCCGAAACUAAGUGAGCUACUUCAAAGCAGCUGUAAGAGCUAACCCCUCUCUGUCGCAAUAGAGUGGGACGACUUUUAAGUAGAGGCGACAAACCUACCGAACUUAGAGAUAGCUGGUUAUUUAAGAAAAGAAUUUAAGUUCAGCCCCAAGCCUCUUUUUAUCAAAAAAAUUUCCUCAGACUUGGGAGUUACUCAAAUAAGGCACAGCUUAUUUGAAACAGGACACAACCUAGAAUACUGGGUAAAACAAUUGAAAUUGUGGCAAGUGGGCCUAAAAGCAGCCACCUUCAAAAAAGCGUCAAAGCUUACCAACAACAACUUCCUAAUAACCUCAACAAUUUUUAUCCCACAUAUCCUAUUAAAUUACCCCAUACAACUAUGGGAGCUAUAAUGCUAGAACGAGUAACAAGAAAAAGACUUUCUCCAAAAUGUAAGCUUAAGCCGCAAUGGACCAACCGCCGGCAAUCAACGCCUCUGAGCUAAUUUUAGUAACACUAACAAGAAAACCCUAAAAGCCUCAACGUCAACCUUACACUAGUACAUUUAUGGAAAGAUUAAAAGAGGGGGAAGGAACUCGGCAAAUAUUGAUCCCGCCUGUAUUCAAAAAAAAACACAUGGAA